rnacentral:lncRNA from 1 species
UUUUAUUUUAAUUGAGCGGGAGAGAGAUAUAGACUUACUUGGAGAGCCAGCCAGAGGGACUAGAGGUCUUGACCCAGAAGAUUCUCCCAACCUUCAUUUCUUUGACUUCUUGGAUUUCUCAGAGGGAUCUCGCAUCCUCUUCAUGAAGUUUGGUGGAUGCUCAGGUAGCCAGUCCACUAAGAAAUCAGAGAUGUCCACCCCUUGAUUGGCCAGGUCUUGUAGAUAAUAAGCUACCACUUUUGGAGGGUCAAUCUUGGAGAACAGAUAGAGUC